CAGAGCCCCAGGUGUCUCCAUGGCAGGAUAACUUCAGAGAUGGUGGAACCUUGAAGUCCUGGCCACUGCUUUCGAGUGACUCCACAGGUCUUCUAAACCAUUCCCAACAGGAGGAGGUGAAAUAGCAGUGAUGAUAGAAAAGCUGUUCUGGUGUCAGUCCUUUGGAAUACAGAGAAAACCAGCUAGAGCCCCAAAAUGGCUCUUUUGCACCUGCCUGCUGCCUUUCGCUCUCUUCCAGCUGGUAUUGCUGGUGCAAAUAGUUCCUGCUGUGGACUGUACAUUGCAGUAAAUCCUCACAUACCCAUCUGGGGACCAGCCAUAGGUGGUACUAGUGAUUACUUAGAUAAUUCAUGUGCUUAAGGAUCAUGACAUGCAUGUGGAAUGAGAAGAAACAUGGUAGGACAGCUGAUAAAACUAUCCAAGUGCCUUUAACAGUGUAUGCAGGUCAAUAAGGAAAUUGUGAAUAGAGGUGAAGUAGCCCCAGUACUGAAAACCUGAAGACCAUGCUAUAUUGACUGCUCAUUUACUUUGGGUACGGCUGACUUAGACUAUUAUCAAAAGCAGAUACUAUCUCCCUGUAGUCAAUACAGAUUAUUUGAGUCAGAGGAGUGGUGAUCUGAGCAACACAUUUUGUCUUGUUUUGUUUCUUCUAUCUCCCUCUAAAUAAAUAACUGAACAGUUUAAAAGACUAUAGCAAAUUAUGUACAAUGAGCUCUUUAGCAGUUCUGGA